rnacentral:rRNA from 1 species
UACUAGAGUAGCACUCGCAUAUCAAUAAGCGGAGGAAAAGAAACUAACAAGGAUUCCCCUAGUAACGGCGAGUGAAGCGGGAAGAGCUCAAAUUUGAAAUCUUAAAGGGUUUCCCUUUACGAAUUGUAGUUUAAAGAAGUGUUCUCUGUUGAGGUUUUGGUAAAAGUUCUUUGGAAUAGGACAUCAUAGAGGGUGAGAAUCCCGUAUUUGACCUUUACUUUCAACUUUGUGAUACACUUUCAAAGAGUCGGAUUGUUUUGGAAUGCAGUCCAAAAUGGGUGGUAAAUUUCAUCUAAAGCUAAAUAUUGGCGAGAGACCGAUAGCGAACAAGUACCGUGAGGGAAAGAUGAAAAGAACUUUGAAAGGAGAGUUAAACAGUACGUGAAAUUGUCAAAAGGGAAGCGUUUGACACCAGUGUUGUUUUUCUGAAAAUCAAUUAAAGAACUGUUUAUGCUAAGUUGUUUAGACUUUAUCAGCUAAUCUGCUUAGUUUCUGAGCUUUUCUUUAAUGCACUUUUCAGUUAACAAGUCAACAUCAAUUUCUUUUGCUGUAAAAAAGCUUGAGGAAGGUGGCUUGAGAUUCGUCUUAAGUGUUUAUAGCCUCUUGCCUAUGCAGUCGGAGAGAUUGAGGUCUGCAGCGUAGAUCCUUCGGGGCUAAAUGCAUUUGUGCUAAGUUAUAGCAUUUUAUAGACAACUUGUUGACUAUGAUUUGUCUUGUAGCUUACUCGCUUAUGUUAUUUUACCUACGCUUAGGAUGUUGAACUCUAUCACACACAG